AGAGACAGCAGUCGCCGCGGGAAAACGUAGGUGGCAAGCGUUGUCCGGAAUUAUUGGGCGUAAAGGGCUCGCAGGCGGUUUCUUAAGUCUGAUGUGAAAGCCCCCGGCUCAACCGGGGAGGGUCAUUGGAGACUGGGAAACUUGAGUGCAGAAGAGGAGAGUGGAAUUCCACGUGUAGCGGUGAAAUGCGUAGAGAUGUGGAGGAACACCAGUGGCGAAGGCGACUCUCUGGUCUGUAACUGACGCUGAGGAGCGAAAGCGUGGGGAGCGAACAGGAUUAGAUACCCCUGUAGUCCCUGUCUCUUAUAC
rnacentral:rRNA from 1 species